AGGCAGUGAGGCAGGCAGGCAACAGAGCAGGCAUAGCU
rnacentral:SRP_RNA from 1 species